CGGAUACGUAAUAACGGCUGAUAGUUCUUUGUAAGUUCAACUAAAAGUUUGCACGUUAAGUGUUUGGGUAUGAUUUGUCAAGGUCAAACUAGAGUUAAACGACUGAAUAAUCUGUUGACUACACAAUCGCACAGCGGAUUCACAUCAUAUGACAUUGUGGUAUGACUAUAUUUUCAUCAAAGUCCAUUUCAAAAUGACGGAUAUAAUCUUAUAGACCUGUGACCGACAGACAUGACGAAUUUUUUUUUUCCGUUUG